GUCUUCAGCUCGUGUUGUGAAAUUUUGGGUUAAUUCCCGCAAGGAGCCCACCCCUUAUCUUUUUUUCCCACCGGUUAGGCUGGGCACUCUAAGGAGACUGCCGGUGACAAACCGGAGGAAGGUGGGGAUGACGUCAAGUCAUCAUGGCCCUUACGACCAGGGCUACACACGUGCUACAAUGGUGGGUACAAAGGGUUGCCACCUCGCGAGGUCAAGCUAAUCCCAUAAAGCCGAUCGUAGUCCGGAUUGCAGUCUGCAACUCGACUCCUUGAAGUCGGAAUCGCUAGUAAUCGUA
rnacentral:rRNA from 1 species